rnacentral:lncRNA from 1 species
UGAGCCUUGACUCAUUUAACCCCCACAGCACCCAGUAGAUGGUGGCACUAUUAGCAUACUUGUUUUAGAGGUGAGGACACACACACAAAGAGAUAAGGAAUUGCCUAAGAGCAAAAAGCUGGUAAGUGGUGAGCCCAGGUGUGAGCCUUGCUUCAGGAUCAAGUGCGCACCCCUGUGCUCUGGACUCCUUCCAGGUGUUGUUUCUCUUGCUGGCAUUUUAACUUCAUUACACCUAUCUGUAUGUUGGUCGUGGGAAGGAGGAAGCUCACCGAACACUGUGGCUUACCCAAGAUUUGUCCCUCGACUUUCCCUCUUCACCAAACCCCAGAGCCACUGGCGGAAUGUUCAGUUCCUUGGAAUCCCACAUGCCCGGGUUAGCUCCUUUUGCAAGCAGCCUGAUGGAUAGAAGUGAAGGGAUGGUGCUCCUUAUGAAAGGAGACGGGGGAGCUUAGUGAGCAGCGGCAGGGCCCUGCAGCCCGUCACACGCUAGCAUCCACCGGGUUGAGUGGCUGCGCACGACCGCGGCGGGCGGGCGGGCGCGCUGCCGGAACGCUCUAGGCCUCCUGCGGAACCCAGGCCUGCGUGAAGGUAAAUGCAAAUCAGCUCCGCCCAGCGCUUCCCGCAGAAGGAGGGUUUUCUGUGUGCGCGUCUGGUUUCCUCCGCCUUCAGCCAGAAUGCUGGCUUUAUUUUUGCGGUUUAUGAGCUUGAGACAGGGAAUUCAUUUCCUUGGUAUAAUAUGACCCUCUGGAGAAAGUCUUGUCCAGAUAUAUUUUGCUCCCAAACGCCGCCCUAGAAGAAGGACUACACUGAAAUGAAACGGAGAUGAUUAAAGUCUGAUUUAUAGGCUGUACAAGCCCUGAAAGCAAGAACGGGGUUCACGGCAUCUUGAUACCCCCAUGUGGGGACGUUUUGGCGAUUUUAUUUACAAGAAAGGGAUUUUACACCGGAGAGGCUUUUAAAUAUGCUAACAGACUGGACCAGCUUUCUCAUCCCCACUGGCUGAUUAAUGAUUCCUCCAUGCCAACCCGGUUCUCAGAGACACCAAGGCCAGUGCCCUUGAUCCUUAGGAAGUGGCCUCCAGUGCUUAGAAUUCCAAGCAUUUGGUCCUCUGGAGAUGAGAAACCAUGGGAAGGCAGGGGCUCACUCACCCCUGUAUCCAAAAAGUUGAGGAUGGUGCCAAGGACAGAGACGGUACCAGGGACUCCAAAAAUACUGAAUGAAAGGACAGUAGAGGUGCUUUCCUGUGGGAUCCCCAAUCUCUCCCCGCCUUCAGGUGAGUCCUGCUGAUGCUCAGGCUGCCCUUGGAACAGGGACCUUGGCCAUAGUUUCCUUAUCUGUAAUAAUGGGAUGAGAAUUCCUCCUGCACAGGGUUGUUAGGGACCUCGUGAGGCAGCUUCUAUGGCUGCCUUUGGUGCUUAGUUUUCUCACUUUCUUCUUGAACAUGGGAGUGGGGAGACGGACUCCUAAGGGUAUGACACUUGAAGAUUUCAGGAGGGGGCCUGCAGGUUUAUGUCCUCACUUGUUUUACACCUCACAGAGGUCAGCGAAGCAGGGUAUCACCAAAGCCCCACCUGAUGUCUCUGGAAAUCGAGUACUCCGUGUCUUCACCAGGCCCAUGCCAGCUGUGAGGGGCAGAACCAGGUUUUCUGACACCAAACCCCAGGUUUCUUCCUGUGCUGGCAUGGGUCCUUUUUCUGACUUGGCCAGCAGCCUCUCAUAGAUGGGGGUCUGAUUAAAUAGUUCUGG